rnacentral:rRNA from 1 species
UAGGGAAUAUUGCACAAUGAGCGAACGCUUGAUGCAGCAACGCCGCGUGCGCGAUGACGGCCUUCGGGCUGUAAAGCGCUUUUCGGGGAGAUGAGGAAGGACAGUAUCCCCGGAAUAAGUCUCGGCUAACUACGUGCCAGCAGCCGCGGUAACACGUAGGAGGCAAGCGUUAUCCGAAUUUACUGGGCGUAAAGCGCGUGCAGGCGGUUCGGUAAGUUGGAUGUGAAAUCUCCCGGCUCAACUGGGAGGGGACGUUCAAUACUGUCGGACUUGAGGACGAUAGAGGGAGGUGGAAUUCCCGGUGUAGUGGUGAAAUGCGUGGAUAUCGGGAGGAACACCAGUGGCGAAAGCGGCCUCCUGGAUCGUUCCUGACGCUCAGACGCGAAAGCUAGGGGAGCGAACGG